rnacentral:tRNA from 1 species
CUCCCUGUGGCUCAGUUGGUAGAGCAUGGUGUUUGCAACGCCAGCAUGGUGUGUGCAACGCCAGGGUUGUGGGUUCGAUUCCCCAGGGGGG